rnacentral:tRNA from 1 species
UCGGGAGUAGCUCAGCUGGUUAGAGCGGGUGACUGUUAAUCACUAGGUCGGGGGUUCGAGUCCCUCCUCCCGAG